rnacentral:rRNA from 1 species
CUCCAGUUGACCGCAUGGUCCUCUGGGAAAGCUUUUGCGGUAUGGGAUGGGGUCGCGUCCUAUCAGCUUGAUGGCGGGGUAACGGCCCACCGUGGCUUCGACGGGUAGCCGGCCUGAGAGGGCGACCGGCCACAUUGGGACUGAGGUACGGCCCAGACUCCUACGGGAGGCAGCAGUGGGGAAUAUUGCACAAUGGGCGCAAGCCUGAUGCAGCGACGCCGCGUGCGGGAUGACGGCCUUCGGGUUGUAAACCGCUUUUGACUGGGAGCAAGCCCUUCGGGGUGAGUGUACCUUUCGAAUAAGCACCGGCUAACUACGUGCCAGCAGCCGCGGUAAUACGUAGGGUGCAAGCGUUAUCCGGAAUUAUUGGGCGUAAAGGGCUCGUAGGCGGUUCGUCGCGUCCGGUGUGAAAGUCCAUCGCUUAACGGUGGAUCCGCGCCGGGUACGGGCGGG